rnacentral:rRNA from 1 species
ACCGGCGCACGGGUGCGUAACGCGUAUGCAAUCUACCUUUUACAGAGGGAUAGCCCAGAGAAAUUUGGAUUAAUACCUCAUAGCAUUACGACCUGGCAUCAGGAUGUAAUUAAAGUCACAACGGUAAAAGAUGAGCAUGCGUCCCAUUAGCUAGUUGGUAAGGUAACGGCUUACCAAGGCUACGAUGGGUAGGGGUCCUGAGAGGGAGAUCCCCCACACUGGUACUGAGACACGGACCAGACUCCUACGGGAGGCAGCAGUGAGGAAUAUUGGUCAAUGGGCGCAAGCCUGAACCAGCCAUGCCGCGUGCAGGAUGACGGUCCUAUGGAUUGUAAACUGCUUUUAUACAGGAAGAAACACUCCCCUCGUGAGGGAGCUUGACGGUACUGUAGGAAUAAGGAUCGGCUAACUCCGUGCCAGCAGCCGCGGUAA